rnacentral:misc_RNA from 1 species
GUAUAUUGUAUUGCGUUAAACGCGGCAUGCAUUCCAUGAGACUUUGUUACAGUGUGUGUGUAAAGAUGCAGAACCAUAGCAGGAGGACAGGCCCCCCAACCAUAGAACCACAGAGGGUGCACAGGGUGUGAGUGGAUGUGUGAACAGAGCGUGCACAUGUCCCCAUUUGAGGACCAGCAACAACUCUUGUUGACAAUUCAGUAAUGAUCCUUCCGCAGGUUCACCUACGGAAA